AAAAGAAAUUAGAGUUGGGGUUGGGAUUAAUUGAUUGUUGGAUUUUGGAUUUUGGAUUUAACUUUUUUUUUUUUUUUUUUUUUUUUUUUUUUG
rnacentral:ribozyme from 1 species